AUCAAUUAGGACAUUUAAAAUAAGGUUUUUAUCAUUUAUGUACGUUGGAGCCUUGCAUGUGUGUUUUGCUUGUUCUAAAUCACCUAUGGUGAACCCACAAAGAAUUAAUUUCAGUCUUUGUUCCUCUUUUCUUUUCCCUCUGCCGAACCAACCCUUUUUACUUUGGCUAGGUUUUGGUUCCUUCAAUUUUGGGGCUUGUAUGUGUAAUUAUCAAAUCAAGGAUUGUUGGAUACAAAAAUGGAAGCUUAAGAGCAAGAUU
rnacentral:lncRNA from 1 species